rnacentral:rRNA from 1 species
UGGGGAAUAUUGCACAAUGGGCGCAAGCCUGAUGCAGCCAUGCCGCGUGUGUGAAGAAGGCCUUCGGGUUGUAAAGCACUUUCAGCGGGGAGGAAGGCGAUAAGGUUAAUAACCUUGUCGAUUGACGUUACCCGCAGAAGAAGCACCGGCUAUCUCCGUGCCAGCAGCCGCGGUAAUACGGAGGGUGCAAGCGUUAAUCGGAAUUACUGGGCGUAAAGCGCACGCAGGCGGUCUGUCAAGUCGGAUGUGAAAUCCCCGGGCUCAACCUGGGAACUGCAUUCGAAACUGGCAGGCUAGAGUCUUGUAGAGGGGGGUAGAAUUCCAGGUGUAGCGGUGAAAUGCGUAGAGAUCUGGAGGAAUACCGGUGGCGAAGGCGGCCCCCUGGACAAAGACUGACGCUCAGGUGCGAAAGCGUGGGGAGCAAACAGG